AAGACAUAAUUCUAGUACUCUGAGAUGAACAACACAAGUACUAUUAAUCAAGGACAAGUCUGAAACUGAACAAGUGUCAAGCACUACUCAAAUCUGAACAUUACAAAGCAUUACACAUCUCAGCUUACAGAAAAUUCAGAGAAAGAUAAUGAGGGAAACAGCAGUAGUAGGGGUUCAGAGAAGCAGCAAGGGGGCGAGUGAGGAGCAGCAAGGGGGCGCUGGAGAGGAGCAGCAGCAGGUUGGAGAUUAGAGUUGUAACAGCAGCAGGGGCGUCAGGGAGAGAGAAAUAGCAGGUUGAAGCAACAGCAGCAAGGGGAUGCAAGGAGAAGGAGCAAAAGGGAAUAGGAGCAGUAGCAAGGAGAUUUAGAGACGAGGGAAGGAGGAGCAGCACCAGGGGAAGAAGAACAGCAGCAGAGAUGAAGAGGAAAGAGCAGCAGCGUGGUGAGGAGAAGAAGAUCAGCAGCACGGGGGCGCUCACGCGGAGGACCAGACGCCCGUGACCCUCUUGUCUGGUCGGGCGCGUGAGGUGCGGCGGUGGCUGGAGAUGGUGGCGAUGGUGGAUGGAUUUGGUGGCGUGUUGUGGGUGGUGGAGAUAAAGGGGGUAAAUUUAGUAUGUACAUCAGACUUGGUACAAACAGGAAGGAAAGGGGGUGAAAGUAGUAUAGACUGGUCAUCCAACCGUCUCUUGGUCCAAAAGGGAAGUAUAGGGAAAAUGCUUUACAUAGUGGUAUGACCAGGACUAGAUUUGCUAUCCACACAUAGGAGUGGGUGCCUAGAGUGAACAAAAAUGGGACCAACCCAGAUAUGUUUCUUGGAUGUUUGUUUCUCGAGGCAACAAACUUUGAAUCACCACUUUAUGCCCCGGUUUAGGUACAUGGUGCUUGACUGCUGGUGCACCCACUGUCCCAUGCCCUUAUAGCAAAUAUUUAGCUGUUAUUAAUCUAAUGCCUCGGGUAAAAUGAAGCCAUGCUACUGUUAUAAGCAAUGACAAGUUUAGCCAAUUGUCUUUGCCAAUAAUUGUUUAAGACUCUGACUGUUUCCUCUCUUGCUUCUUGUGCAAACAGGGAUAUCCAUUUCUCCUCAUUGCUAUUGCGACCUUUUGGUGCACUGCACAAAACACUUCUUAAAAGAAGUGACUUUUGUGCUAUUUAACUCGAAUGUCAGAAUGGAAACGUUGUUUCAUUUCGGUGGAACUGCACAAAGGGAGAUCUGUGUUCCAAUCUUCAUCAUCCAAAUUGGCACCAUAAUCUUCCUUUAGGUAAGAAUGAUAUUUAAUGCAUGUGUUCAUCUCUAUUUUGGACUGCCAUCAGAAAAUAAUGCUAUUGUUUACUAGUACACUUGUAUUCCCUCACUGACAAAACCAAUUCUGAAAUAGAAGGCCAAUCAUGUACUUGGUUUCAGCAACUGGUGAGGAGAAAGAGAAACAGAGCAUGAUAGGAAGAAGAAGAAGAAGAAGAAGAAUAAGAAGAAGAAGAAGAAGAAGGAGAAGGAGGAGGAGGAGGAGGAAAUGAAGAACAUCACAUAAUGGUAUCGUCCUAUGUUAUCCUGACAUCUUGCUAUUGGUAUUGUAUUGAUGUGUUGCUACUAGUCUUAAUUUACUUGGAAGACUAGCAAGAUGCUCAUUCGUUGCACAUAACAUCAAGAUGCAUUUGUAUGAGUAGUUUAUCUUGUGAGAGAAAAGGAUGAAUGAGGGAAGGCCUUAUUUGCAAAUGUGGAGAGAGGUGUGGGUAUCUUUUUGCAAAAUUGCCAUAGUUUCCUUCCUAUCCGUCAGAUAUAAAUCGAACGGCCUAUAUUGCAGGAUGGCAGGCACACCAUCAUCACCAACUCUAUUUUUUGUAAGAGUAUAAGAGUAAUAGAUAAUAGAGUAGAGAUAGAUAGAGAAAUGCAGCAGAGUAGUACUUGGCUUGACGACACAUCAUACUAAUUAACCAGAUUCUGGAUGCAUGUGUGACCCAGCUCUACAUGAUCAACAGUGCCAAGGUGAUCUUGCUGAAGUUGAGGCCUCAGUCGAGGCCAUUCAAGGGCUCUAGCAACAUCUCCCUUACAUGUGAGACAAUCCUCCAGGGAGCCCUUCCACUUCCGAUGUCUCUCCUGCAAGGUCACUUAAUUAAUUAGGAGUACUUAAGUAGCACUAAUUCAUUGCUGCCUAAUUUUCCUGCCAGAGUUAAACAAUCUUUAGUAGAACCCUAUGCUGAAUCAUGUACGUGUGUAUCUGUGUCUGUGGAGGUGAAUCAUGUGGUGGAGCAGGGAGGGAAUCUUGGUAGUGUCAUGACAUAAUAAUGUUAUUGUUUUGUAUGUCAAUUUAUUGCCAUUGGUUCAAUGAGGUAAUGUUUUGUGUAUUGUCCAUCAUGAAUUUGAUGCUAAUGUUAAAGUAAUAUGCUAAUGUCUUUCUAUCCUUUCUCACUAAGCUAAUGAAGGUUUCACCUUGUUCCUACUUAUGCAAACAGGGAUCAUGUUGUGCCAAUCGUACAUUUUAGUAGAACUGCACAAGAGAAUACAAUGGACUGUAUCCCAACCAGUGCUUUAAAUAUGCUGGAAGUUCUUCAUAAUCUUUCGAUAUAAUCUCACCACUGGUAAACAAGAGUUAUUUCAACCAUACAUUUGAAGUGCACAAAAAUAUAUACUAUUGAGUGAUUUAAGUGAGUGCUUUAUCAUCUCUUCUGGGACUACUUGAAUAAGCUUUUUUGCUCAGGUUGGUACCGGCCUAAGGCCUUCAGCCAUAUUAGUUUGCUAUCAUCUCUAUUUGUAUCGUGCUACUAUGUUGCUACAUUCAUGAAAAACUCCUUUAUCUUUGCAUGUUAAAGUUUUGCAACCUAUGAUACACGGCAACACUCAGUUCACAUAUUCACAUCAAUCGCCCUAUGUCGAAGGUAAAAUUCAGUGGGACGGUAUUUAAGAAAUGACUCAAGCAACCCAAAUAAUAGUUGAUUACAGCAUGUAUAAUGUAUGAUGGUAUUCAGAUUGGGGUCAUGAAACAGCUCACCGGGUUUAUAUGAUGUAGGUCUCGCUCGAUCACUCUCACAUCCACGUGCAUUGCGACUCCUCUCCUUUUGCUUCCCUGUCCUCAUGCCUGCUCCAACUUCUCUCUUCAUGUGUGCUCCUUGCUUCUCCUCAUCCCCAUGCCAUGGGUCCACCAGGGUCCCAGGGAAUGUCAUCUCGAACUUGGUCAGCAUGUAUUGAUUCGUGCACAAGCAAAAACCUGAAAUAGGACUCACACAAACAACAACUACAAGUGAUAGGGUAGAUGCCCUCUAAAUCAUCAAUAGAGUACCCAAUUACAUAAGCAUAGCUAUAAAGCACAUGUUUAGAAUGGUAGAAAUGAGCAAAGUCAACACUAACAUGAGGAUGAUAUUUUUCAUUAAGCUCAAGACUAGCAUAAGAAUGAUAUGUUUCAUUAAGCAUAGGUCUAGCACAAGGGAAGUAAUUGUGAUCAUCAUUAAUGUGAGUAAUGCCACUAACAGGGUAUAUAUGAUCAUAUCCAAGCAAAUACUUUUUCAAAUCUACUUUAACAGAUGGCAUCAUGUAAUGCAAGGUGGUAGCAAAGAAAUCACAAGGCAUCAUGUCAUCAAGAGGAUUGAGUAAACCUGACACAUCACGCUCUGGUAUGACAAUAGGCAAAUGAAUCUCAUGUUCUUCAUCUUCAUCUACAGCAGCUUCUUGUACUUCUUCAGGAGUAGUAGAUGAUGAGUCUUCAACUUGAUCACUUUGUUGUUCGAGCUCUGGAUCAUCCCUUGGCUUCGAGAAUUUCUUCUUGGAUCUGAAGUAUCUCUUCCUCUAGACUCUCGCUAUCUUGCUCUGCUGAAUGUGAAGGUGUUGGAACCUCCAUGUAUCAAUGGAUAUCUCAGCAACACUCAGCUCUAGCUGUGAAGAAAUAGUGCUGCCAGCGUUGAUGUUCUUCUCAAUCUUCCUUACUUCUUCCACUAGCUCCUUUCCACUCUUAAUCUUCUUCAUUUCCUCUAGUAUCACCGGCCUAAUUGGAUCAUCUUCGGCACUCCAAGUGAACUCGAGACCAAGCAAUGUGAGCUUGUCUAUAUCAUCAAAGUCAUCUUGUGUGGGCACUUGUGUUGAAGAUGUUGGUUGACCAAAUGGAGGACCAUUUAACUCCAUUGGCAACAUGUCCUGGUGUUGAGGUAUAUGAGUAGGAGCUGAAUAAAUCUGCUGUAGAGCAUAGUUGUGGCUCUCCUCUUCAUACCUAAAUCCCUGCAUUGGAUAACUAGAGGCAAACGAUGAGAUCUCAGGGUUAUUGCUCCUAUAUGACAUAUUCUGGUUUUCAGGCCACCCAUGUGUGUAAUUGUUUUGGUAUGAGAUAGGCUAUGGGGCGAAGCUCAUGCCAUAACAAUCGGGAGGGUGAGAGUAACCACGCUGACAUUCAGCGGGUGAAUGGCCCUGAAAUCCACAAAUAUGGCAUGUAGGAGCAACAUAAGGAUGACCUCUAGAAUAAGGAUCAUAAGAGCUAGGCCUAUCCUCAAAAACUACCUCUCGCUGCCGAGCUAAAUCAUCUAAUUGAUGGGAAAUCUUACUUAUCAGUUCUUGAAUACUUUCCGUGCUGUUUGUAGUGUUGCUCGCAUAAGCCGGAUGAUCUGAAUAGAAUGCCAUUACCGAGAGGAUAAUCCAACCUGCAAAAAGGAAAAGAAGAGAAAAAGAUACUAACUAGAAUAGGGGUUAGUGGCUAGAGAUAUAUCACAAAUAUAUGGCACAAGAUGAAAACAAGAAAAACCUAGUCUAUAGCCUAGCACAAUCGCUCGACGCUAAUCCCCGGCAACGGCGCCAAAAUGAUCGAUUGAAAGUAUAGCAGGGUUUUUACGCCCCUAACUACAGAUGUCGUGUUCUCCACAGGGACUAGGCGACAGCAACAAUGCUCAUCUAAAGCUAGGUGACAGAAUUUUAAGAGAGGAUUCCAAGAAAACAAUAACCUAAACUAGCUAAGGUUGACGACAAAGAAAGGGUAAACAGCAAGGGGAAAUUCAGAUUUUACUCAUUGUCUUUUUGGUAUUUUUAUUAGGCUUGAGGGAUUAAAACACUAACGCAAACGAGAAUCAAUAUUAGGGAAACCUGCUAGACAAGAACACAUAUAACUAUCAUACAUGAACAGAAUAUAUAUGACAUAUAUAGCUAGUACUCUUACAUUUUAAAUGAGAAUCACAAUGUAACAGUACAACUCUCACAACACAAACACUCACACAUAUAUAACUAGCAAUGACAGAAGGAAAGAAACAAGCUAAUAUGAUAGGGACAAAAAUAUAUCACAACACAAACAUAUAUGUUUUCACAGGAACAAAGUUAACAAAAACACUACAGAACACACAUCCCACAUAUGCAAACAGGGGGAGGUUACAAGACAUAAUUCUAGUACUCUGAGAUGAACAACACAAGUACUAUUAAUCAAGGACAAGUCUGAAACUGAACAAGUGUCAAGCACUACUCAAAUCUGAACAUUACAAAGCAUUACACAUCUCAGCUUACAGAAAAUUCAGAGAAAGAUAAUGAGGGAAACAGCAGUAGUAGGGGUUCAAAGAAGCAGCAAGGGGGCGAGUGAGGAGCAGCAAGGGGGCACUGGAGAGGAGCAGCAGCAGGUUGGAGAUUAGAGUUGUAAUAGCAGCAGGGGCGUCAGGGAGAGAGAAACAAUAGGUUGAAGCAGCAAGGGGAUGCAAGGAGAAGGAGCAAAAGGGAAUAGGAGCAGCAGCAAGGAGAUUCAGAGACGAGGGAAGGAGGAGCGGCACCAGGGGAAGAAGAACAACAGCAGAGAUGAAGAGGAAAGAGCGGCAGCAUGGUGAGGAGAAGAAGAUCAGCAGCACGGGGGUGCUCACGUGGAGGACCAGACGCCCAUGACCCUCUUGUCUGGUCAGGCGCGCGAGGUGCGGCGGUGGCUGGAGAUGGUGGCGAUGGUGGAUGGAUUUGGUGGCGUGUUGUGGGUGGUGGAGAUGGCACGGUGGAGCUGGUGAUGUGCAACGGCGAAGUGGAGGGA
rnacentral:lncRNA from 1 species